rnacentral:rRNA from 1 species
UACGUAGGGUGCAAGCGUUAAUCGGAAUUACUGGGCGUAAAGCGUGCGCAGGCGGUGAUGUAAGACGGAUGUGAAAUCCCCGGGCUCAACCUGGGAACUGCACUUGUGACUGCACGGCUGGAGUACGGCAGAGGGGGAUGGAAUUCCGCGUGUAGCAGUGAAAUGCUUAGAUAUGACACAGAACACCGAUUGCGAAGGCAGCUCACAAAACUGUAAACUGACGCUGAGGCACGAAGCGUGGGUAGUCAAACGGA